ensembl:lncRNA FBXL9P F-box and leucine rich repeat protein, pseudogene
GCUUGGGGGACCGUCCUCCCCUUCCCUAUCGGCCCCAGAAGAUAGCUGCCCUGUCAUCUCCGCGAGAACAGGCCCUCUGCCCAUCCCCUUCCCUUGAAGUGGCUGUCUCCUCCCCGCUCAGUUCUGGAAGAUGUCCGCUCCAUCUCAUCGUCCCGAAGGAUGCUCACAUAUAUUCUGAGCUUCCUGCCUCUGUCAGAUCAGAAAGAGGCCUCCCUCGUGAGUUGGGCUUGGUACCGUGCUGCCCAGAAUGCCCUUCGGGAGCAACCAGGCCUUACCUCCCUGGACCUCAGUGGCUGCUCAGAACUGACUGAUGGGGCGCUCUUGGCCGUGAGCCGGGGCCUGCGGCACCUGCGGCGCCUGAGCCUGGGGAAGCUGCAGCGGCUGACAGAUGCAGGAUGUACAGCUCUGGGUGGCCUGCAGGAGCUGCAGAGCCUCGACAUGGCCGAGGGCGGGAACUGGCCCAGGCCCUGGGCUGUAUGCACGGGGCUCCAUCCCAGCUGGCCUCCCUCAGCCUGGCCCACUGCUCUUCAUUGAAGGAUGCCUCAGUGCUCUCCAUGAUCCCAGCACUGGGCCUGAGCCUCAGGGUGCUAGACCUGUCCUCCUGUGUGGCCCUCACCAACAGGACCCUGCAGGCCAUCUGCACCUACCUCACCCACCUCUCAGUCCUGCGCCUGGCGUGGUGCAGGGAGCUCUGUGACUGGGGGCUUCGGGGGCUGGGGGAGCCUGUGCAGGGGACCCAGGUGUGGGACCCUCGAGGUCUUGGAGGACGGGGUGGCCCCUGGGAUCAGCUGCCCUCCUGCCCCUCCCAAGUCUCUGUAGGAGUAUUUAAGGGCAAACUCAGGAGGAACCUGAGAAGCAAAGGCUUCUUCCCACAGUCACGCCCAGAGCUGGAGCAUCAGGCCUCAGGUACCAAGGACGCCUGUCCAGAGCCACAGGGCCCC